AGACCACUACGGUGACUUAUAAGUAACUCAUCAUACUUUAAUACCAGACCAUCUGAGUUUUUAACUUAGUGAUAAAAGGAUACUAGGUGUAGUCAAGUACUUAUCAAGUCGGUGUAUGAGUCAAGAUGAAAUUGACCCCUCUGAAUUGGUAAGAGAUAUGCAUCAGUGUAUUUCAAUUUAGCAAAAUCUUGAUCAAGAUAAUCUAUGAGAUGGAUUUAAAAGAUUGAAAUAUAAUACGGUUGACUUAAUUAGGAUUGACAGUUAAAUCUUAGGUCACUUUGAGCAUUUGGAUUAAAGGGA
rnacentral:lncRNA from 1 species